rnacentral:tRNA from 1 species
GCACCCGUAGCUCAAUUGGAUAGAGUAUAUGACUACGGAUCAUAAGGUUGGGGGUUCGACUCCCUCCGGGUGCGCCA